UAGGGAAUCUUCCACAAUGGGCGCAAGCCUGAUGGAGCAACACCGCGUGAGUGAAGAAGGGUUUCGGCUCGUAAAGCUCUGUUGUUAAAGAAGAACACGUAUGAGAGUAACUGUUCAUACGUUGACGGUAUUAACCAGAAGUCACGGCUAACUACGUGCCG
rnacentral:rRNA from 1 species